rnacentral:rRNA from 1 species
UACGUAGGGUGCAAGCGUUAAUCGGAAUUACUGGGCGUAAAGCGUGCGCAGGCGGUUGUGCAAGACGGAUGUGAAAUCCCCGGGCUUAACCUGGGAAUUGCAUUCGUGACUGCACGGCUAGAGUGUGUCAGAGGGGGGGUAGAAUUCCACGUGUAGCAGUGAAAUGCGUAGAUAUGUGGAGGAAUACCGAUGGCGAAGGCAGCCCCCUGGGAUAACACUGACGCUCAUGCACGAAAGCGUGGGGGAGCAAACAGG